UGGGGAAUAUUGGACAAUGGGCGCAAGCCUGAUCCAGCCAUGCCGCGUGAGUGAUGAAGGCCCUAGGGUUGUAAAGCUCUUUCACCGGUGAAGAUAAUGACGGUAACCGGAGAAGAAGCCCCGGCUAACUUCGUGCCAGCAGCCGCGGUAAUACGAAGGGGGCUAGCGUUGUUCGGAUUUACUGGGCGUAAAGCGCACGUAGGCGGACUUUUAAGUCAGGGGUGAAAUCCCGGGGCUCAACCCCGGAACUGCCUUUGAUACUGGAAGUCUUGAGUAUGGUAGAGGUGAGUGGAAUACCGAGUGUAGAGGUGAAAUUCGUAGAUAUUCGGAGGAACACCAGUGGCGAAGGCGGCUCACUGGACCAUUACUGACGCUGAGGUGCGAAAGCGUGGGGAGCAAACAGG
rnacentral:rRNA from 1 species